CAUCAAAAUCUUAGGCCCUCCAAAUCUGAGACAAUCACCUCAAAAUCUCUUACUUCUCUUCAUUUCCAUUCAUCCUUCACCCUUCUCUAUUCUCUUGACUGGUUCUCUUGCUCUCAUUGGGACAUUGGCCCCCGAGAUGCGGUUGCCACAGAGAAGGAAGUCGUGAGAUCUUUGGAGGUUGAAGAAAGAAGGAAGAAGAC
rnacentral:lncRNA from 1 species